rnacentral:rRNA from 1 species
AGAACGAACGCUGGCGGCAGGCCUAACACAUGCAAGUCGAACGCUCGUAGCAAUACGGGAGUGGCAGACGGGUGAGUAACGCGUGGGAACCUUCCCAGUGGUACGGAAUAGCUCAGGGAAACUUGAGGUAAUACCGUAUACGCCCCUAGGGGGAAAGAUUUAUCGCCAUUGGAUGGGCCCGCGUCGGAUUAGCUAGUUGGUGAGGUAACGGCUCACCAAGGCGACGAUCCGUAGCUGGUUUGAGAGAAUGACCAGCCACACUGGGACUGAGACACGGCCCAGACUCCUACGGGAGGCAGCAGUGGGGAAUCUUGGACAAUGGGCGCAAGCCUGAUCCAGCCAUGCCGCGUGAGUGACGAAGGCCUUAGGGUUGUAAAGCUCUUUUGCCGGGGACGAUAAUGACGGUACCGGAGAAUAAGUCCGGCUACUUCGCGCCAGCAGCCGC